rnacentral:rRNA from 1 species
CAGGAACGCUGGCGGCAGGCUUAACACAUGCAAGUCGAGCGGCAGCACGGGUGCUUGCACCUGGUGGCGAGUGGCGAACGGGUGAGUAAAGCAUCGGAACGUACCAUUGAGUGGGGGAUAACGUAGCGAAAGUUACGCUAAUACCGCAUAUUCUCUCCGGAGGAAAGCAGGGGAUCGUAAGACCUUGCGCUCUUUGAGCGGCCGAUGUCGGAUUAGCUAGUUGGUGGGGUAAAGGCCCACCAAGGCGACGAUCCGUAGCUGGUCUGAGAGGAUGAUCCGCCACACUGGGACUGAGACACGGCCCAGACUCCUACGGGAGGCAGCAGUGGGGAAUUUUGGACAAUGGGGGCAACCCUGAUUCAGCCAUGCCGCGUGAGUGAAGAAGGCCUUCGGGUUGUAAAGCUCUUUCGCGAGGGAAGAAAACGUGCAGGUUAAUACCCUGUAUGGAUGACGGUACCUUGAUAAGAAGCACCGGCUAACUACGUGCCAGCAGCCGCGGUAAGAC